UACGUAGGGUGCGAGCGUUACUCGGAAUUACUGGGCGUAAAGGGCGCGUAGGCGGCUUAUCAAGUCAGGCGUGAAAUUCCCGGGCUCAACCUGGGGGCUGCGCUUGAUACUGAUUGGCUUGAAUGCGGGAGAGGAUAGUGGAAUUCCCAGUGUAGAGGUGAAAUUCGUAGAUAUUGAGAAGAACACCGGUGGCGAAGGCGGCUAUCUGGCCCGUAAUUGACGCUGAGGCGCGAAAGCGUGGGGAGCAAACAGG
rnacentral:rRNA from 1 species